AAAAUUCUAUGAAAUUUAUAAAUAAUAAAAGGUAAAAUUUAACUAUUAUUUUAUAUUUAAUUAGUAAUUGUAAUUGAAGCUAAGAAAUCUAUUUAUAAACUAGGAUUAGAUACCCUAUUAUUUUAGAAAUUGACAUAAAACUAGAUUAGUAUUAGUUAUAUACUUAAAAAUUAAAAAAUUUGGCGGUGAUUUAAUCUUUUCAGAGGAAUUUGUUUUUUAAUCGAUAAACCACGAAAAAUCUUACUUAUUUUUGUUUAAAUAUAAUUUCAGUUUGUAUACCAUCAUUAUCAGAUAAUUCUAAAAGGAAAAAUUAUUAAAAAUAAAAUAAUUAUUUAAAUUAGAUCAAGGUGCAGCUAAUAAAUAAGGUAAAAUGAAUUACAAUAAAUUAUUUUAUAAUGGAUUAAUAAAAUAAUUUUUAUUAUAAAGGAGGAUUUGAUAGUAUUAUAAUUUUAAUAAGUUUAUAAGAUAAUAGCUCUAAAUCAUGUACAUAUCGCCCGUCGCUUUCAUUUAUAAAU
rnacentral:rRNA from 1 species